rnacentral:rRNA from 1 species
GUGGGGAAUAUUGCACAAUGGGGGAAACCCUGAUGCAGCGACGCCGCGUGGGUGACGAAGUAUUUCGGUAUGUAAAGCCCUAUCAGCAGGGAAGAAGAUGACAGUACCUGACCAAGAAGCCCCGGCUAACUACGUGCCAGCAGCCGCGGUAAUACGUAGGGGGCAAGCGUUAUCCGGAUUUACUGGGUGUAAAGGGAGCGUAGGUGGCAUGGCAAGCCAGAAGUGAAAACCCGGGGCUUAACCCCGCGGAUUGCUUUUGGAACUGUCAGGCUGGAGUGCAGGAGGGGCAGGCGGAAUUCCUGGUGUAGCGGUGAAAUGCGUAGAUAUCAGGAGGAACACCGGUGGCGAAGGCGGCCUGCUGGACUGUAACUGACACUGAGGCUCGAAAGCGUGGGGAGCAAACAGG